ACGGCUCAGGUAAACACGUAAGUCAACCUACCCUUAAAGACACGGGCAAUCCCGGGAAACUGGGGCUAAUCCGUGACAGGUUUAGAGUUCUGGAAUGGCUCUAAGCUCAAAGGGUCGGGCGAGCAUGCUCGUCCAGUCGCUUUAAGACGGGACUGCGGCCGAUCAGGUUGUUGGUGGGGUAGUGGCCCACCAAGCCAGUAACCGGUGCGGGCUCUGAGAGGAGGGGCCCGGAGAUGGACACUGAGACAAGGGUCCAGGCCCUACGGGGCGCAGCAGGCGCGAAACCUUUACACUGCACGAAAGUGCGAUAAGGCUAUACCGAGUGCCAUCCGCUGAGGGUGGCUUUUCCUAGGUCUAAAUAGCCUGGGGAAUAAGGGGAGGGCAAGCCUGGUGUCAGCCGCCGCGGUAAUACCAGCUCCCCGAGUGGUCAGGACGAUUAUUGGGCUUAAAGCAUCCGUAGCCGGCUUUGUAGGUCCCUUGUUAAAUCCAACGGCUCAACCGUUGGAAUGCAGGGGAUACCGCGGAGCUAGGGGGCGGGAGAGGCGGACGGUACUCCAUAGGUAGGGGUAAAAUCCUUUGAUCUAUGGAAGACCACCAGUGGCGAAGGCGGUCCGCUAGAACGCGCCCGACGGUGAGGGAUGAAAGCUGGGGGAGCGAACCGGAUUAGAUACCCGGGUAGUCCCAGCUGUAAACGAUGCAGGCUAGGUUGAUAGAGAGGCUACGCGCCUCCCUAGUGCCGCAGGGAAACCGAUAAGGCCUGCCGCCUGGGGGAAGUACGAUCCGCAAAGGGUUGAAACUUAAAGGAAUUGGCGGGGGAG
rnacentral:rRNA from 1 species